UACGAAACAUAGUCGAUGGGAAAUCCACAGUUGAGUUCCAAAGUCUUUUGGCAAAGAUCUCAACUAUCUUUUGGCAAGAUCUCGACCGUGUAUAAGCUAGUUCAAGAUGAAAGUCUCUCUUAUUGYGGCUGUAUGUUUGGUGUUGGUUGUUCUGUUUUCUCAGGAGUUUGGAGCAAACGGUUGGAGACGACGACGUAGACGCCGACAUAUURUUGUUCGUCCAUCGCCAGUUCGCGCAGGUCCACCAGGUCCUCCUGGCCCAAGAGGAUAUCGUGGUUCACAAGGGCCCCGAGGUUAUCCUGGAUCACGAGGUAUGCUAAAUACGAAAUACAAUUAACGUCGUUACGGGGAAAGGUGAAAGGAUACACAUAUAUACAAGGUCAGGGACUGCGCUAAAUUACGCUCCCCUGAAUUUAUUUAUCUAUUAUUCCUGAAUAAAGAGUUGCCGCUUUUCUUGAGUUAAGUUUUUCACUUCAAUAAGUGUUUGGCCAAAAAGCACAGAAUCGGACACCGUUGAUUUUCAGUUUCCAAUAAAAGUUCUAGAUUACAAUUUUAGACGUUGCACCUUMUCUUUAAGCACAUAAAAUUAGAGCUCCCACCCCCCCUGGAUCGCCCUGAUUCCCCCCCUGGAUUCCCUCCUGAUGCGCAGUCCCUUAAAAGACUGAUUAUUGUAAAAACACGGUGCAUUGCAAGAGAGAGAGAGCAACGGUUGAAGUCGAGUUUUGAGGUUUUUUUACUUUCUUGGGGUGUUUUUAGUAGAAUGAAAAGUAUUAAAUUUGUGACCAAAUUAUUGGUUCACUAGGAYCUCCAGGAAGCUCAGGACCACCAGGGCCUCAAGGACCACCAGGUCGAAAAGGAAAAGGAAAACUCAAAUGCAGAGUGAUGACCCACCGUUUUAAGCAUGUCAUUUGUCCUCGAAGGCACCAAGCAGUUUACUGUUCUUGUAAUCGAAGAUACCCACGGAAAUGCACUGGAGCCCAUACACUUAGAGGCCGUGUUUGUAACUGCAAAUGCUCACGUGCAGUGGCCGUUGCUGUAUGUUGUACUAUUCGUUAGGAAGAAAACUGUUUUACGUAAGUGUACGUAGGUUUUACGUAUGCUUACUUAAGAUCGCGGAACCGAAAACUGUACUUAUUAAGGGAAUWUUAAGACUAAGAGAAUAUUAUCUGAACGUUAAUUGUAACUCAAUAGUUAGAUUGAUCAAUUAAAAGAGCAUUUGAAAACUCAAAA